AUUGAACGCUGGCGGAAUGCUUUACACAUGCAAGUCGAACGGCAGCACGGACUUCGGUCUGGUGGCGAGUGGCGAACGGGUGAGUAAUACAUCGGAACGUGCCCAGUCGUGGGGGAUAACGUAGCGAAAGCUACGCUAAUACCGCAUACGAUCUACGGAUGAAAGCGGGGGAUCGCAAGACCUCGCGCGAUUGGAGCGGCCGAUGGCAGAUUAGGCAGUUGGUAGGGUAAAGGCCUACCAAGCCGACGAUCUGUAGCUGGACUGAGAGGAUGAUCAGCCACACUGGGACUGAGACACGGCCCAGACUCCUACGGGAGGCAGCAGUGGGGAAUUUUGGACAAUGGGCGCAAGCCUGAUCCAGCCAUUCCGCGUGCAGGAUGAAGGCCUUCGGGUUGUAAACUGCUUUUGUACAGAACGAAAAGGCUCUGGUUAAUACCUGGGGCUCAUGACGGUACUGUAAGAAUAAGCACCGGCUAACUACGUGCCAGCCGCCGCAGUAA
rnacentral:rRNA from 1 species